ACGCUGGCGGCACGCCUAACACAUGCAAGUCGAACGAAGUAGCAAUACUUAGUGGCAGACGGGUGAGUAACAUGUAGGUAUCUGCCCUUUGGCCUGGAAUAACACGAGGAAACUUGUGCUAAUACCGGAUAAGUCUUUACGGAGAAAGCUUUAUGCACCAUUGGAUGAGCCUGCACUUGAUUAGUUUGUUGGUGGGGUAAUGGCCUACCAAGACUGUGAUCAAUAGCUGAUUUGAGAGGAUGAUCAGCCACAUUGGGACUGAGACACGGCCCAAACUCCUACGGGAGGCAGCAGUGGGGAAUCUUGCACAAUGGAGGAAACUCUGAUGCAGCGAUGCCGCGUGAGUGAAGAAGGCCCUUGGGUUGUAAAGCUCUUUCGUCGGGGAAGAAAAUGACUGUACCCGAAUAAGAAGGUCCGGCUAACUUCGUGCCAGCAGCCGCGGUAAUACGAAGGGACCUAGCGUAGUUCGGAAUUACUGGGCUUAAAGAGUUCGUAGGUGGUUGAAAAAGUUAGUGGUGAAAUCCCAGAGCUUAACUCUGGAACUGCCAUUAAAACUUUUCAGCUAGAGUAUGAUAGAGGAAAGCAGAAUUUCUAGUGUAGAGGUGAAAUUCGUAGAUAUUAGAAAGAAUACCAAUUGCGAAGGCAGCUUUCUGGAUCAUUACUGACACUGAGGAACGAAAGCAUGGGUAGCGAAGAGGAUUAGAUACCCUCGUAGUCCAUGCCGUAAACGAUGUGUGUUAGACGUUGGAAAUUUAUUUUCAGUGUCGCAGGGAAACCGAUAAACACACCGCCUGGGGAGUACGACCGCAAGGUUAAAACUCAAAUGAAUUGACGGGGACCCGCACAAGUAGUGGAGCAUGUGGUUUAAUUCGAAGAUACGCGCAGAACCUUACCAACACUUGACAUGUUCGUCGCGACUCUAAGAGAUUAGAGUUUUCGGUUCGGCCGGACGAAACACAGGUGCUGCAUGGCUGUCGUCAGCUCGUGUCGUGAGAUGUUGGGUUAAGUCCCGCAACGAGCGCAACCCUCACUUUUAGUUGCCAUCAUUAAGUUGGGCACUCUGAAAGAACUGCCAGUGAUAAGCUGGAGGAAGGUGGGGAUGACGUCAAGUCCUCAUGGCCCUUACGUGUUGGGCUACACACGUGCUACAAUGGUAUCUACAACAGGAAGCAAGACGGCGACGUCAAGCAAAUCCCUAAAAGAUACCUCAGUUCGGAUUGCACUCUGCAACUCGAGUGCAUGAAGCUGGAAUUACUAGUAAUCGUGGAUCAGCGUGCCACGGUGAAUGCGUUCCCGGGUCUUGUACACACCGC
rnacentral:rRNA from 1 species